GACGAACGCUGGCGGCGUGCUUAACACAUGCAAGUCGAACGGAAAGGCCCUGCUUUUGUGGGGUGCUCGAGUGGCGAACGGGUGAGUAACACGUGAGUAACCUGCCCUUGACUUUGGGAUAACUUCAGGAAACUGGGGCUAAUACCGGAUAGGAGCUCCUGCUGCAUGGUGGGGGUUGGAAAGUUUCGGCGGUUGGGGAUGGACUCGCGGCUUAUCAGCUUGUUGGUUGGGUAGUGGCUUACCAAGGCUUUGACGGGUAGCCGGCCUGAGAGGGUGACCGGCCACAUUGGGACUGAGAUACGGCCCAGACUCCUACGGGAGGCAGCAGUGGGGAAUAGUGCACAAUGGGCGGAAGCCUGAUGCAGCAACGCCGCGUGCGGGAUGACGGCCUUCGGGUUGUAAACCGCUUUCGCCUGUGACGAAGCGUGAGUGACGGUAAUGUGUAAAGAAGCACCGGCUAACUACGUG
rnacentral:rRNA from 1 species